rnacentral:rRNA from 1 species
UACGUAGGGUGCGAGCGUUGUCCGGAAUUAUUGGGCGUAAAGAGCUUGUAGGUGGCUCGUUGCGUCGGGAGUGAAAACCUGCGGCUUAACCGCAGGCCUGCUUCCGAUACGGGCGAGCUAGAGUUCGGCAGGGGAGACUGGAAUUCCUGGUGUAGCGGUGGAAUGCGCAGAUAUCAGGAGGAACACCGGUGGCGAAGGCGGGUCUCCUGGGCCGAUACUGACACUGAGAAGCGAAAGCGUGGGGAGCGAACAGG